UACGGAGGCGGCAAGCGUUAUCCGGAAUUAUUGGGCGUAAAGCGUCCGCAGGUGGCACUUCAAGUCUGUCGUCAAAGACUGGGGCUUUACCCUGGAAAGGCGGUGGAAACUGAAGCGCUAGAGUGUGGUAGGGGUAGGGGGAAUUCCCGGUGUAGCGGUGAAAUGCGUAGAGAUCGGGAGGAACACCAGUGGCGAAGGCGGCGAUCUGGGUUGAUACUGACGCUGAGGUGCGAAAGCGUGGGGAGCAAACAGG
rnacentral:rRNA from 1 species